rnacentral:rRNA from 1 species
GAUGAACGCUGGCGGCGUGCUUAACACAUGCAAGUCGAACGGAAAGGCUCCUGCUUGCAGGGGUACUCGAGUGGCGAACGGGUGAGUAACACGUGGGUGAUCUGCCCUGCACUUCGGGAUAAGCCUGGGAAACUGGGUCUAAUACCGGAUAGGACGAUGGUUUGGAUGCCAUUGUGGAAAGUUUUGCGGUGUGGGAUGAGCUCGCGGCCUAUCAGCUUGUUGGUGGGGUAAUGGCCUACCAAGGCGUCGACGGGUAGCCGGCCUGAGAGGGUGUACGGCCACAUUGGGACUGAGAUACGGCGCAGACUCCUACGGGAGGCAGCAGUGGGGAAUAUUGCACAAUGGGCGCAAGCCUGGUGCAGCGACGCCGCGUGGGGGAUGACGGCCUUCGGGUUGUAAACGCCUUUAGCUAGGGACGAAGCGCAAGUGACGGUACCUGGAGAAGAAGCACCGGCUAACUACGUG